AAAUUUAUGCCACCAGAUAAAGACUGAAUGCACCGAUUAUCACAUUAAACAAGAGGAAAACCUCCUAUGCACCAAUUCCACCCACGCUUUCUACAAUUUUGUAAACAACAAACUAAAAUACUCAAGGUGCAUCCCACCUUUGAAAGGACCUAAUGAGAAAACCAAAAAUAACCA